UACUAUACUGAUGAAUAUUAUGAAAAUCUGAAUUAUUAAUAGAUAUGUUCUUUAAAUUUGAAGAAUUUGGCGGUAAUUUAGUCUUGUUAGAGGAACCUGUUUUUGAAUCGAUACACCACGCAGAAUCUUGCUCAUCAUAUUUAAAAGCUUAUAUACCAUCAUUAGCAGAUAAUUUUAAAAAAAUUAAUUAUUAAAGUUUAAAAAAAGUUAAUUUAAAUUAGAUCAAGGUGUAGCCUAUAGGUGAGUUAAAAUGGGUUACAAUAAAAUUUAUUUAGAACGGAGCAAGUAUAGGAAGAAACCUUGUAGAAGGAGGAUUUAAUUGUAAUAUAAAUUUAAUAAGUUAAAAAGAUAUAAGCUCUAAAUUAU
rnacentral:rRNA from 1 species